rnacentral:tRNA from 1 species
GGGGUCAUGGCUCAGUUGGUAGAGCGCGUGCUUUGCAUGCAUGAGGUCCAGGGUUCGAUUCCCUGUGGCUCCA